AAGCCAUGGUGAGGGCAAGCAUUAAUGGCUUCCAUGUAUCUUUCCCAACACUCAUAGAAUUUCUCAUUCUCUUUAGUUGAGAAGUUUGAAAUUUGCCUUUUCAAGCUU